GACGAACGCUGGCGGCGUGCUUAACACAUGCAAGUCGAACGGUGAAGCGCCUUCCUUUUUGGUGGGUGUGGAUGAGUGGCGAACGGGUGAGUAACACGUGAGUAGCCUGCCCCCUUCUUCUGGAUAACCGCAUGAAAGUGUGGCUAAUACGGGAUAUUCUGGGUCUGUCGCAUGAUGGGUCUGGGAAAGAUAUUGUUUCGGUGGGGGAUGGGCUCGCGGCCUAUCAGCUUGUUGGUGGGGUGAUGGCCUACCAAGGCGGUGACGGGUAGCCGGCCUGAGAGGGUGGACGGUCACACUGGGACUGAGACACGGCCCAGACUCCUACGGGAGGCAGCAGUGGGGAAUAUUGCACAAUGGGCGCAAGCCUGAUGCAGCGACGCCGCGUGAGGGAUGGAGGCCUUCGGGUUGUGAACCUCUUUCGCCAGUGAAGCAGGACUGCCUCGUUUGUGGGUGGGUUGACGGUAGCUGGAUAAGAAGCGCCGGCUAACUACGUG
rnacentral:rRNA from 1 species